UACGUAGGGGGCGAGCGUUGUCCGGAUUUAUUGGGCGUAAAGAGCGUGUAGGCGGCCAGGUAGGUCCGUUGUGAAAACUCGAGGCUCAACCUCGAGACGUCGGCGGAAACCCUCUGGCUAGAGUCCGGAAGAGGAGAGUGGAAUUCCUGGUGUAGCGGUGAAAUGCGCAGAUAUCAGGAAGAACACCCGUGGCGAAGGCGGCUCUCUGGAACGCAACUGACGCUGAGACGCGAAAGCGUGGGGAGCAAACAGG
rnacentral:rRNA from 1 species